GACUCCCGCUGCCGCCGCACAGAAACUCGAUGUGCGUACCCAAAGUUUUCAGUCUCUCUCAUAUUCUUUGUUCCACAGCUCCUCGUCAACGAGUAGAUGUCAGUGUGUUUAAUACCGAAAAUUUUCCAACAAGGAAACAAAAUCCCAUUUUGCCCCUGGCUGGGUGAUGAGCACGAGCAUCCCCUCGCGUGUACUCACGCCCGCCGUGCUCAGGCUGGCCUUCCUUCCGGUGUGAGCCGCGCCGCCACAUUGGUACUGGAGGGAGAGCAUUACCAACCCUGCCCUGCACCAUUCACCGCGAGGAGGAGAGGCUGCGUGCAAAACCGUUCCGUUCAGCGCUGACUGGCCCCGAGUGGGCAAUGGAACUGUUCAUUCCCGUUAAUUGAAAGACAAGCGCACUUCCCCCACGACGAACGCCCGCCUCCUCCUCCAUCGUAUUACUAUUAAGGAUUUGGAAUAUAUCCGGUCACUUCCCCUCCCCUUCAUCAGCCAGUGUCUGCGUACACUGCAACUUGCAAUCUCGUGUUCUCCGAGGGACCACUGAGCUGCCGGGGGCGGAGGAUGCUUGACUGUAUUUAGAAAGUCCCUCGGCCGCCCUAAGGUUUUCCUGAUUACGCCGAGCCUGCACCACGUAAGGGACGCCCCAAUCCAUUUAGCAAUGCAGCGCCGCCAGGGGGCCGUAAGCACACCAACGCAAGGCCGGUAAAGGAGGACCUGCCAUUACUAAGUCUAGUGCCCUGAACGAAACUACUCCGGGGAGCCAUUAAGGGGUCGCCCCAGUGUUGGCACGAGCCCUUGUUGUCAUUCCUGCCGCGGAGAACGGCGCCGAAUAACCACGAAAAGCAAAGAGAAAGAAAAAUAAAGAAAUAAUAAGAAAACUAAAGAGAGUCAGAAAGAAAAAGAGAAAAGGACGAAAACAACAAUGAUGAUAUUUAACAGCAAUUAUGAUUAAUAUCACUAUGACUGAUAGUAAAAUAAUAAUCAUCCUCGCGUGGAACGGCACGCCAACCAGCCCUGUCUCCCUCUCCUUCCCUCACCCCCAGCGAGGGCUCUCCGCCUGCCAUCUGCCCACGCAUCGCUCCGCCCCCACAUGGUUGAUCCGAAUCCCAUUGCUUUGUGUUCACUCCUCGGCUUCACAGUGAAAGAGCAGUAUGAAAGCUAUCAAUCCUGACAAAAUUAUGCAAGGCCAAGUUCAUGACAUCAUUUUAAAAACAGAUGGAGUCAUGACGUAAGGACACGGUAUAUCAAGACGGAUCCCAGUGUCAUUUCUGUAAGCUCAUCUUCAAGCCAACGUCGGCAAGAGCCACGGCUUCGCUUGCUCGGUACGCUGUCUGACUUAACACGUUGGUGCCCUCUGGCGGCGCUCAGGAGAAGCCAACACGCCUCCCAAGUAACAAAUGCUGCUGCGCUCGAAGGCUGAUGAUGUGUUAUUGUCUAUAACAAGCGAUGUGGAUGCUACUGCGUGCCUGAUUUUGGGCUUACUGAUGGAAUGGCGCGGUACGAUGUGCUGGGCCCCUAGCUCGUAUUUGAUAACUGUGUUUCAGUUCGCUCUGUACCUGGCACCGCACCCAUUACGGCCAUUAGGAUUCCUGUAACACUGGCGGAGCUUUCGUGCGUGGUGCGGUGUGUUGGUGUGACGCGGGUAACCUGCAGGCUGGCCGACGACGGAUCUUAAUGAGAUACUCCGACCAUCAGAGACUGGUCGCCAACACACUAAGAAUCGACGCGGUCACCGCAGAGACACAGCGCGCCGUGAGCCUCGCCGCUGCAGGAGGGAUCACUUCACCUGCAGCAGCAAUGCGACACACGUUCAUCAGCCUACCAACUCCUCCGGAAGACUACACUAGGAGCGGGCCAACAAGCUACCGGAGACCCACUAAGCAUACACGGGAGUGGGAAGGAGGUAUAUCUGUCCACAAGGAGUGACGUGACAGGCUGGCGGCCAGGGAGGAGAGCUGCCGGCGCGCGAGGCACAGAGGAAGCUGAGAGUGCGUCCACCUCCCUUCCCACCCUCAGGAGGUCGUCCGUCCCAACGCGCGCACGUCCAGAGGGUCGAGGCGGGGAAGAGAAGAGCCGUGCAGACAGAUGCCGAGCAGCGGGUUGAUGGAGUGCUUCGUGAUAAGCGAAGCGUUUUGACACGAGAACAAAAGAAAAUGACAAGACUGCCUGUGACCUGGGGACCUCAAGCACUCCCAGGACGGCGACUCCCUUGGUGGCGUUCAUCUAUGUCAGUCUGCAGCAACAUUGACUUGAAUGGUCGUUAAUCUACCUAUGGGAUUAUAAGCAAUAGUUUACUUGAUGAUAUUCU